rnacentral:rRNA from 1 species
GGAGGGUGCGAGCGUUAAUCGGAAUGACUGGGCGUAAAGGGCAUGUAGGCGGAUAAUUAAGUUAGGUGUGAAAGCCCUGGGCUCAACCUAGGAAUUGCACUUAAAACUGGUUAACUAGAGUAUUGUAGAGGAAGGUAGAAUUCCACGUGUAGCGGUGAAAUGCGUAGAGAUGUGGAGGAAUACCGGUGGCGAAGGCGGCCUUCUGGACAGAUACUGACGCUGAGAUGCGAAAGCGUGGGGAGCAAACAGGAUUAGAUACCCUGGUAGUCCACGCUGUAAACGAUGUCGAUUGGGAGUUUGUUGCCUAGAGUGAUGGGCUCCGAAGCUAACGCGAUAAAUCGACCGCCUGGGGAGUACGGCCGCAAGGUUA